CCUGAACUGCCCAAGCACUGGGGCUUUUCAUGGACAGCCUGACCCACUCCUGCAACCAAGGCUCUGGGCUGCUGAAAGUCUUCUCAGAGGCAGUCCUAACCUUGGAGACUGGAUUACUGCUAUAUGUGCUGAAGAAAAAAGCAAAGAAAAUACCAGUUUGGGCAGCUAAAGGUGAAGGRUUCCUGCCAGCUAGGAUUGCUGCUCAACACCCGUGUGAUGCCUCCAGAGGCUCUGCAUGACUGGAGAGUCACCUGUCCAUGAACUGGGGAAGUGAACUCUAACAUCAAGGAGAUCCAAAGGACUUUCUGGGACUGAAAUUUGUUGUGCAGCGCUAGUACAUCGGCCAACAUUUUGCUGAACCUUUUCCCUGCAGUGUCAUUCACAUGGAGUGACACUGUGCUUGACCUGUAGUUUUAAAUUUACUGCUUGUGAUGUGAAUUCAGUUUUAAAUAGCUCUGGAUCCUUUUUAAGUCAUUAAGGGUACCCACAAAGAUUAACCACAAAUUUGUAAUUCCUUUGAUUAAAACAAACUCUUGGCAGGACUAACAAAGAUU